AGUGUAAUUGGCUUUGAUAUUCGAGUUUGAAUCCCUUCUUGAGCAAAUAAAUAAAUUAUGUUAUUUUUGCUCCCACUCCCUGAGUGUGCCGUCCAACCUAGUGAAAACCCUAAGUAGAAAAGUGAUUUCUUUUAUUUUUUUCAGCUUUUCUCACUUCUUCCUCUACCCUAGCCGUUCCUUGUGUCAUUCCUAGCUUAGUGAUUUUCACCAUCGUUGUAUCGCCUCAUUGAUCUAUUAUUUUGUUAUCAUUCUUCCAGCCUCAUUGCCGGUAUUUUUAAUCACCAAAUCAACCCCUUUUUUGCCUUAAAACCCUUCUCUGAGCCACCUAAAUAAGCCUCUCCUUGUUGCCAUUAAAACCUCCAUUGUCGCCCCCUCUUCUCCGCUCGUGGUGUAUCAGUUUGUUUCUUUUUCCUUCUCAAUUCUUUUUCUUUUGCUUGUCGAUUUUGCUACUAUUUUUACAGCCAUUUUAUUACUGAUUCCAGCCUCUAUCCCCUUUUCUGCGAAAACCUAUUUUUGUGCCGCCCCAAAUCAGCCAGAUUCUUGCCGCCACUUGUAGUGGUGUGCCGCCCCUUUGUGUACCACUUGUGGACUGCUAUUUUUCUCUUCUUUUUCUGCCCAUUACAGAAGUGUUUCCCUCAAUUUUCAUUUCUUUAAAACAACCUUUAACAUUAUUAAUUAAGGGUGUAUCCAAUCUUAUUCAACCAACAUCUCAGAUCUAGUUAACGUGAAGCGUACUAAUUUGAACGUGCCAGAUCAGUAGUGAAGUCGAAUUCCGUUUGUGCCCUCGUUUCGCAUCAAAUUAAUGUAACUUACCUAUCCAAAUUGGAUCUGAAAAUUUGUUGGUGUAACACUAAUUUGGCCGAACCAUUAGGGGGUGUUUCAAGGCUUGUUUUAACAGUAUUUUAAAGCAUUAAAUGUUAUAAUUUGGUUUUAGGCAUGUUUAAGGUUUAAGUGUGGAAGCACGAACUUUGAGGAUUAGUGUUGUGGACUUGCGAUUUAAGGUGUGGGUCUUAACUUUCUAUAAAUAGUUGUUAUAUUAAUAUAAUUCUUAAACUGAUACUAAAUUCUUGCUGGUCGGGCAUGGCUUAAUGGCUUAAUAAGUGAAUUAAAGGUCGUUGAACAAGUUACGUGAAUUAAAAAUCAUUGUUUGAGUGAUUAAGCCCUUAUCAAGAUUGUUUGUUUGCGUAAUUGUUGUAUUUGAGUGUCUAUUUGAUUGCCAAUGUUAUGGAUUAUUGUAUGCUGGUUGUGACAUGCUUUGAAAUGAUGUUAUAUCGUGUUCAUUGAUUAUGGGAUGCAUGAUUAGUGUAUAACAUGUAAUGUCACUGUUCGAAUUGCAUACUAAGUUUGACAAGAUUGUAUCACAUGUUACAUACCAAUAAAAUUGUUGGUUUGAUUGACUAAAUGUUUGCAAAAAUAAAAUCAGACAUGUAUUGAAAGCAUGAUUGAAUUAUUGUUAUUAAUAAAUGAAAAGUAUGCAAGGCAGACAUCGACUCUGAUUAUUGAUAUGCAUGGUAGGCAUGCCAUUGAAUUGAAUAUGUUACUGUAAGCACGAAAAACAUAUCAUUAUACUGAAACUGAACUGAAAGCAUGAUUUUGCUAAAUGAUUGUAUGUCAUAAUGCAUAUGAAUGGGGUGGGUUAUUGUGGUUGACGGAGGAGUUCCGUGGAGUACCAGCGGCAAUUAAAGUCCGCACUAUUGUUGUCAGUGCACUGCACUGGGAGUACCAAGGAGAUUGGCGAUUUUAUCGCAUUAUAGGCAGUUGGUCUACAUAUAUUGGCAGUUUAUCUGCACUACUGUACUAGUGGUUUAUCCACAUCGAGCUAUAGUUCACACUGUUUAGUGUUCAGCAGACGUGUUCUGGGAAACUCGUGGUGUGUAGCAGAUGGUUGGGUAGGAACCUUUGCUUUGCACCAUUUGCAUCACCCCAUGAUCAUACACCAUUUGGUACCGUAUAAUAAUUGUUAUGUAUCGACAUGAAUUUGCAAUGUUAGCUCUGUGUUUUUCUGUUAACACUUAUAUGCAUUGCUUGAUGAAAUGUCGCGUUUAUUAUAGAUAUUGUAUUAAUAAUUCUCUGCAUUACCGUAGUUGAAUGUAUGUUGGUUUAAAUAAUUGUUUGACUCACACUGAUCGUUCAUAAGCUUGCUUCCCCAUAAUGUUUAACUUUUCAGGCAAACCUCGAAACUAGGACCGGACCCGGCAUACGGAGUAUUACCUCGGGCAUCGAACUAUUUUUAAUUAAUUAUUAUUAAUAAGUCUAUUGGUUUUGGUUUGUAAUUUUAAUUAUUUUUGGUUUGUGGCUUGGUAGCUUUUCAUUUAGGGAUUUUUGUAGUCAUGGAUUACUUAAACAUAAUAACCGGUAAAGGCAUGAUAUCUGGCUUAAGUAUGA